rnacentral:rRNA from 1 species
CCUACGGGAGGCUGCAGUCGAGAAUCAUUCACAAUGGGGGAAACCCUGAUGGUGCGACGCCGCGUGGGGGAAUGAAGGUCUUCGGAUUGUAAACCCCUGUCAUGUGGGAGCAAAUUAAAAAGAUAGUACCACAAGAGGAAGAGACGGCUAACUAUGUGCCAGCAGCCGCGGUAAUACAGAGGGCUCAAGCGGUGGUCGGAAUCACUGGGCGUAAAGUGUGCGUAGUCUGUUGCGUAAGGCGUGUGUGAAAGGCGCGGGCUGCACCCGCGGACGGCACAUGAUACUGCGAGACUAGAGUAAUGGAGGGGGAACCGGAAUUCGCGGUGUAGCAGUGAAAUGCGUCGAUAUCG